rnacentral:rRNA from 1 species
UACGUAGGGGGCUAGCGUUGUCCGGAAUCAUUGGGCGUAAAGAGCGCGUAGGCGGCCAGAUAAGUCCGGUGUGAAAGUCACAGGCUCAACCUGUGAAUGCCGCUGGAAACUGUCUGGCUAGAGUCCGGGAGGGGCGAGUGGAAUUCCUGGUGUAGCGGUGAAAUGCGCAGAUAUCAGGAGGAACACCGGUGGCGAAGGCGGAUCUCUGGGCCAUUACUGACGCUGAGGAGCGAAAGCGUGGGGAGCGAACAGGA